AUUGAACGCUGGCGGCAGGCCUAACACAUGCAAGUCGAACGAGUGGCGGACGGGUGAGUAAUGUCUGGGAAACUGCCUGAUGGAGGGGGAUAACUACUGGAAACGGUAGCUAAUACCGCAUACCAUCGGAUGUGCCCAGAUGGGAUUAGCUAGUAGGUGGGGUAAAGGCUCACCUAGGCGACGAUCCCUAGCUGGUCUGAGAGGAUGACCGGCAACACUGGAACUGAGAAACGGUCCAGACUCCUAGGGGUGGAAGAAGGGGGGAAGAUUGCACAAGGGGCGCAAGCCUGAUGCAGCCAGGCCGCGUGUAUGAGGAAGGCCUUGGGGUUGUAAAGUACUUUCAGCGGGGAGGCGUUACCCGCAGAAGAAGCACCGGCUAACUACGUGCCAGCAGCCGCGGUAAUUC
rnacentral:rRNA from 1 species